UUUCUGCUCGAGGUUUCGAAGUUUAGGGCGUACACGAUUAAAGUUACUGCAACCAAACUUCGCUUUUAUGAAACUUAUUCGAAAUAAAAUCGGUAUACCAUGCAGGGGGAAAGGUCAGUAUUAAAUUUAGCUAUUUUUAAAACGUUUUUGAGUUGUUCAUGUUAAGUUCUAGUUGCUCUUCGAAGCUCGUGUGUAGAUAUAUUCAUUGUAAUAAUAUGUAUUGACUUCAAGCGCUUCGUUUCGGCGCUUAGUCGCUUUGUUUCUUUGCCGUUUCUCUCUCAUUUUCUAGCAGUUGUGUUCCGAAAUACCCGAGCUUUGAUUUAUUUAACUCAUAUUUAGUUUAUCUGCAAUUUCAGGGCGAAAAUUUGACGAGAAAGUGAACUAAUUUAAGUCGCCGUCAUGGUCGAAAAGGCGAAGUACUUGGUAAGCAUAAUGUCCACUACGGGCGUUUCCUUCUUAUUUUUUUAUUUAAGCUUCCCUUAUACACCUAGAACGUCUUCUGGUAAAGCCUAAUUUGUAGCUUGAUGAACAUUCUCCGUUAAAUUUAGUUAUAAAAAUAUGUCCGAACAGAGCGAAAUGCCGAAAGGCAUGUUCAAUUCGACAUGCAUUUCAAACAUUUUAGCUUCUACAAACUUAUCGUUUAUGUACAAAUUGUACUCUGAGAGGGAAGGCUAAGCUUUUUUCUUAGUUGAAUUUAGUCCAAAUAUUUUGAAGAAGCUCAGAGAUGAAAUGCCCUCGUGGUUCAUGCCCUAAUUUUAUGCAUACAUACACGCAUUCUUUAAAAUUAAACUAAAUUGAAUUGUACUGUGUAAACGACAUUAAAUAACUCUUCACUGUUAAAACUAAAAUUAAUUUUAAUAUUUUUUAGAUUGCCUCAAGUUCGAUUAUCUUGACGCCACACAGUACAGAAAGACCUCUGCGCAGAUUUGAAGAGACGUUCGCCUGGCAGUCGAAGCAAAACGAGAAGACGGGAAAGCAAAUGCUGAAUGAAGACCAUCAUCAGCUAACCCACAGCAUUCAUCGUCGCAUUUCGUUUGUCCCAAGUUUGGAAGAGACAGUAAAACUUAAUAAGAUACACUCAUCAUCAGAUUUAGCUCUGUCAGCCAGGACGCGACACCGUACCACCGUUCCCAAGACUGGCAUGAGGAAUUGUCUACCUAUACCAGCCUACGAAAUAGGCGUGAAAGAUGCUGUACAUUACAGAAGGUAUAUUUUCCUCGUAAUUCUCGUUGGUCGUGUUCGAAAGUACGUGGGGACCACCCUGAGGGCGCCCAAAUGCACAAGACAAAUUUAAAUAUGGCACAUUUUCCUUAAUUUCGCAAUUUAUU